AAAAGAGCUAGACCAAGUAAGUGUGGAAACCAAGUAAUCAGCUGCCGGUACGGAGGCGCUGACACACCCAUUCUUCUCUUUCUACAGAAACCUCAGUAAAAUACAAGCGAGAAAAAAGAAGUGGCUCAAAUCCACAUGGCCAAGGAGACCUGGAGAGGAGAUGACAGCAAAAACCAAGAGCUGGAAGGUGAACUACAGCUGAUUUAGCAGACCAGAGAGCUGAAACAGACCUACAGCAGAGAGAGCCACAGACACUAGCUGUUUUCUCUAAAGAACCCUGGAAACCCAGCUGAGCUAUUCAAAUUACAGGACCCCCAGAGGGCAAGGAAAACAGGAGGACUAGUUGGAAGACCUAUGCAGUGUGACCACACAUGGAACUGUACAUCAGAAAAUCGGAUCCAAGUCCAGAUUUGGAUGCUGAAUUUUUCUAUGCCUGGAAGAAGCUACUUAUGCCUCUGAACUCAAUUUCUCCAUAACCAAUAAAGAAAUUUAUAUGCUAUAUCCUGAGAAUCUAAUAAUAGAUGAAAGACUUCUUGGAAAUGCCAUGCACGCAGCUGUCAUUUGGAAAUGACAGCCAGCCUAGAGAAGGUUAAUGCUCUCAUCAAAAAUGCCCAUCCUCUGCCUUGGCUAAAUGGAUCUUUGUGGUUCGCCUGGCUGCUCGUCCCUUCUCCAGGAAUGAAGAGGAUGGGACACGAGAGUGGCUGUCGUGGAGAAUUUCCCAAACACGAAGGGUGCGACUACUUGCUGGCAGUCCAUUGCGUUCCCAGUCUCGCCAACAUUUCAAAAAGAGUAGCCCACAUACCACGUGUCUCAGAACUGCCCAGGGUGUGCAUUUCAACUGUGGGUUCUGGGCCCCGUGACUCCUCCUCCAGACUGUCUGAGCCCUGGGUUCAUUAUUUCAAUGUAGUUGGAAUUGAUGUGCUUAAUAAAAGUCCCUUCUCACUCUGAAA
rnacentral:lncRNA from 1 species